GGGAACUUCAGGGAGGAAAUUGGCGUCGAUAGCCGAAAGAUUCGAUUCAUGCCAACUGAGCCUGUAUCUUUGACCUUCCUUUCUGCACAUGGACAAUCAAUUAGUCAUCAUACUACAAGACAGAGACUAACAGGCCUAUAAAUACCAUUACCUGAUCAUAUCAGCAAGUGCUUCCAUACCAACAUGGAUUUCCACUCUUCCCCUCGGCGUUUUCCGGCUUACCUCCUACUCUGCUUAUGCCUUAUGAUAAGCAUAGGCAGAGGGUAUGGCUCUCAAAAGCUGUACAUCGUUUACCUGGGAGAGAAGAAACAUGAUGACCCUUCUCUGGUAACAGCUUCGCACCAUGACAUGCUCACCACCAUUCUUGGAAGCAAGGAAGAUGCGUUGGCCUCCAUCACUUAUAGCUACAAGCAUGGCUUCUCAGGCUUCGCGGCCAUGUUAACAGAUGACCAAGCACAAGAUCUUGCAGAGCUACCUGAAGUUAUCAGCGUUACUCCAAAUCAGCACCAUGACUUGAUGACCACAAGAAGCUGGGAUUUCCUUGGCAUGAACCUGGACCAUCAGCCACCUAGUAAACUUCUGCAGAGGAGCAAAUAUGGAGAAGAUGUAAUUAUCGGGAUAUUUGACACUGGGAUCUGGCCUGAAUCAAGAAGCUUCAGCGACGAAGGAUACGGACCAGUACCGUCACGAUGGAAGGGUGUGUGUCAGCUGGGGCAGGGCUGGAACAGCACCAACUGCAACAGGAAAAUCAUAGGCGCACGGUACUAUCCUGCGGGUCUGGACAAAGCCGACAAAGCGAACAAUUACAUGUCUGCACGGGACAUAAACGGGCACGGGACGCACACCGCAUCCACAGCAGCUGGUGCAGUAGUAGAGGGGGUCAGUCUCCAUGGCCUGGCAGCAGGGGUGGCACGCGGUGGUGCGCCCCGAGCGCGCCUUGCAGUGUACAAGGUCGCAUUUGAGGGCCCGAAGAAGGUGCAGCUUGCUAGUGCCGCGCUGCUAGCAGCUCUGGAUGAUGCAAUUCAUGAUGGAGUAGACAUCCUAUCCCUAUCAGUCCAGUAUAAUGACAAUUCAUUUGGUUCACUCCAUGCAGUCCAGAAGGGUAUUACCGUUGUUUAUGGCGCCGGAAAUAGUGGGCCUAGACCACAAGUCAUUUCUAACACAGCCCCUUGGGUCAUUACAGUCGCAACGAGCAAGAUCGAUCGGUCUUUUCCAACUGCCAUUACCCUUGGAAACAACCAAACCAUAGUGGGUCAAUCACUCUAUUACAUGAUAAAAAUGAAUCCAAGAGUGGGUUCCAGCCACUUGUACAAGGUGGAAGCUGCUCAAUCGAGGCGCUAAAUGGCACGGAAAUCAACGGAAAAAUUGUUCUAUGCAUUAAAGAAACUUUUGGCCCAACAGCAGACAUUCUCCCAGACGCCAUAACAAAUGUUAAAAGUGGUGGGGCAUUUGGUCUUAUUUUCGCAAUAUAUACCAUCGAUAAGCUUUUGAGCACCGAAGAUUGUGUGGGCAUUGCAUGUGUCAUUGUCGACAUUGAUAUUGGGUUUCAAGUUGCAACAUACAUUGGAAGCCAAGGCUCGCCCAUUGCAAAGAUUGCGCCAGCAAGUACUAUAACAGGAAACCGAGUUCCUGCUCCAAGAGUCGCAUUUUUUUCUUCAAGAGGCCCGUCCGUCAAGUACCCUACAGUUCUUAAGCCUGACAUAGCCGCACCAGGAGUGAACAUCUUAGCAGCUACAGGAGACGGAUAUGUGUUCGACUCAGGGGCAUCAAUGUCAACCCCACAUGUAGCAGGCGUCGUAGCAUUGCUAAAGGCUGUACAUCCUGAUUGGUCUCAUGCCGCCCUAAAAUCAGCAAUUGUUACCACUGCAUCAACCAAGGAUGAGCAUGGCAUGCCGAUGCUAGCAGAAGCACUACCCCGGAAGGUCGCCGACCCAUUCGACUAUGGAGGGGGAAACAUAAAUCCCAACGCAGCUGCCGAUCCCGGCCUUGUUUACGACAUCGAUCCGAGGGACUACAGCAAGUUCUUCGCUUGCACGAUUCAGAAAUACGCUAUCUGCAACAUUUCAAUAUCGCCGGCAUAUCACCUAAACCUGCCUUCCAUAGCCAUUCCUGAGCUAAGGGGUCCAAUUAAGGUGCAGCGAGCAGUCACGAACGUCGGCGAGGUCGACGCGGUUUACCGAGCCGAUAUACAGUCCUCCCCAGGAGUGAGGAUCAAAGUCGACCCACCAACCCUAGUCUUCAACGCGACAACGAAAGUGCACGCCUUCAAGGUCAGCAUGACGCCUCUGUGGAAGGUGCAAGGGGACUACACGUUCGGCAGCCUGACUUGGCGCAAUGAGCACCACUCGGUGAGGAUCCCAUUAGCAGUCCGGAUCACAAUCCAGGAUUUCUACGCCGAUGUUGCAUAGUAACUAGGAAGGUCAUAUGAAAAAUAAAGAUUGGUGAUGUACUUAGGAUUUGUAAUUUGUACUUGAAUAAAUUUGUUUGCAAGAGAACACUACUGUUUUUUCAAAUUUGUCUGAAUGCUCGGUUCUCGAUUUA